rnacentral:rRNA from 1 species
GUGAGGAAUAUUGGGCAAUGGGCGAAAGCCUGACCCAGCCACGCCGCGUGAGUGAUGAAGGCCUUCGGGUUGUAAAGCUCUGUGGGGAGGGAAGAAAAAGCGCAGGAGUAACUGUCUGUGUGUUGACGGUACCUCCUUAGCAAGCACCGGCUAACUCUGUGCCAGCAGCCGCGGUAAUACAGAGGGUGCAAACGUUGCUCGGAAUUACUGGGCGUAAAGCGCGUGUAGGCUGACAUGCAAGUCGGGUGUGAAAUCCCAGGGCUCAACCUUGGAACUGCACUCGAAACUGCACGUCUUGAGUACUGGAGAGGGAAGCGGAAUUCCGGGUGUAGAGGUGAAAUUCGUAGAUAUCCGGAGGAACACCAGUGGCGAAGGCGGCUUCCUGGACAGUAACUGACGCUGAGACGCGAAAGCGUGGGGAGCAAACAGGAUUAGAUACCCGGGUAGUCC